rnacentral:rRNA from 1 species
AGAGUUUGAUCCUGGCUCAGAACGAACGCUGGCGGCGUGGAUUAGGCAUGCAAGUCGAACGAGGGAGUGUGCCGAAAGGUGCACAAACCGAGUGGCGUAAGGGUGAGUAAUGCAUUGAUAACCUACCUUUGAGACGGGGAUAACAACGUUCCGCAAGGGACUCCCGAAAGGGUUGCUAAUACCCGAUAAAACUCUUGGUGCCUAGGUAUCGGGAGUCAAAGGUUUGGGGCUGAAAGGUUCCAUAUGCUCAGAGAGGGGUCAAUGUCCUAUCAGCUAGUUGGUAGGGUAAAGGCCUACCAAGGCGAAGACGGGUAGCCGGCCUGAGAGGGUGGUCGGCCACAUUGGGACUGAGACACUGCCCAGACUCCUACGGGAGGCUGCAGUCGAGAACCUUUCGCAAUGCCCGGAAGGGUGACGAAGCGACGCCGCGUGUGGGAAGAAGGCCUUCGGGUUGUAAACCACUGUCGGGAGUUAAGAAGUGUAAGGGGGUGAAUAGUCCU